GCGGAGGUAAAAGAAACCAACAGGGAUUGCCCUAGUAACGGCGAGUGAAGCGGCAACAGCUCAAAUUUGAAAUCUGGCUCUUUUAGAGUCCGAGUUGUAAUUUGCAGAGGGCGCUUUGGCUUUGGCAGCGGUCCAAGUUCCUUGGAACAGGACGUCACAGAGGGUGAGAAUCCCGUACGUGGUCGCUGGCUAUUGCCGUGUAAAGCCCCUUCGACGAGUCGAGUUGUUUGGGAAUGCAGCUCUAAAUGGGAGGUACAUUUCUUCUAAAGCUAAAUAUUGGCCAGAGACCGAUAGCGCACAAGUAGAGUGAUCGAAAGAUGAAAAGCACUUUGGAAAGAGAGUCAAACAGCACGUGAAAUUGUUGAAAGGGAAGCGCUUGCAGCCAGACUUGCUUGCAGUUGCUCAUCCGGGCUUUUGCCCGGUGCACUCUUCUGCAGGCAGGCCAGCAUCAGUUUGGGCGGUAAGAUAAAGGUCUCUGUCACGUACCUCUCUUCGGGGAGGCCUUAUAGGGGAGACGACAUAUUACCAGCCUGGACUGAGGUCCGCGCAUCUGCUAGGAUGCUGGCGUAAUGGCUGUAAGCGGCCCGUCUUGAAACACGGACCAAGGAGUCUAACAUCUAUGCGAGUGUUUGGGUGUCAAGCCCGAGCGCGUAAUGAAAGUGAACGGAGGUAGGAACCCGCAAGGGUGCACUAUCGACCGAUCCUGAUGUCUUCGGAAGGAUUUGAGUAAGAGCAUGGCUGUUGGGACCCGAAAGAUGGUGAACUAUGCUUGAAUAGGGUGAAGCCAGAGGAAACUCUGGUGGAGGCUCGCAGCGGUUCUGACGUGCAAAUCGAUCGUCAAAUUUGGGCAUAGGGCGAAAGACUAAUCGA
rnacentral:rRNA from 1 species